AUGGUAAUGAUCAUUUUCCUGGGAGAGCUUAAGUCUAGGAUAGCAGGUUCAAAUGCCUCAGGGGCCAGGCCUGUAAGUACCUUCUGGAGUUGCUGGAGUUGCUGGAGUUGGUGGGAAGAAGACUUGGCAGGAGACGCUGGUGUACUCUACUUAAAGACUGCAGACGUCCAGGAGGAAGCCAUAGCAGCACAAAGACCCUGGGCAAGAACGAGAUGGCUUUGUCCACAGAACAGGAAGAAGGUGAUUACAUUAAUAGGUAGGUGUUUGAGAAGUGCUGGAAUCAUGAGAGUUGAGCCUUCGUGAAUGGGAUUAGUAUUUUAUGAAAGAGCCUUGAGAGAAUACCCCUAGCCUCUUCUACCAUGUGAGGCCACAGGGAGGAGGCACCAGCCAUGGACCAGGAGGAGGGCCCUCAUCAGAACACAGCCAUGCUGGAGCCUUGAUCUUGGACUUCGCAGGUUACUGAACUGGGAGAAGUAAAUGUCUGUUGUUUAAAAACCACCCAGGCUCUGGUGUUUUAUGACAGCAGCCUGAUUGGACUAAGACUCUCUCUAUGAAUUCAAUGUUUCAACCAAAUGAUUUUCUUUACCAGCAGUGAUUUCUUUGUUUUCCCGUAAGUUUACAUUCCUCAAGGUCAAAGUCAAAGUCAAAAGUCAAAAGUAGAUCUUUCAUGAAGCCUGAUGAGUUCAUCCUCUGAAUUCCCCAGAGUAUUUGGUUUGUUCUUCAUGCGUCUGUUUUCUGCUGUUUUCUAAUUGUUAUUCUCUCGAUUGAUUGCUAGAGGGCAGGAGUCCUGGACACCUACCAUGGAUAAUUUGUGUGCCUGGUAGCAAGUCUUGGUUUCAGAGUGUGUGCUCAUGCUAUGGUUGAAUAAAAGAAGCACAGCUGUUCACUUUUCCAGGAAAACUCCAGUUACCCC
rnacentral:lncRNA from 1 species